rnacentral:rRNA from 1 species
GCACUUUCAGUGGGGAAGAACGGUCCGGCGUUAAUAGCGCUGGAUCUUGACGUUACCCACAGAAGAAGCACCGGCUAACUCCGUGCCAGCAGCCGCGGUAAUACGGAGGGUGCAAGCGUUAAUCGGAAUCACUGGGCGUAAAGCGCGCGUAGGCGGUUUGGUAAGUCAGAUGUGAAAGCCCCGGGCUCAACCUGGGAACUGCAUUUGAUACUGCCUGGCUAGAGUAUGGUAGAGGGGGGUGGAAUUC